rnacentral:lncRNA from 1 species
AAGGAGUUGGCUCAAACCCUAAUUUCUGGUCUCAGGGCAAAGUUCGUCUUCGUUGUGAAGGACUUCGCCGAGCGAGGAUUUGGGGAACGACGAUCCGCAAUGUGAUAAGACGAAACAAGACUUUUGUGUUCGUCCUUGAGAGUCUGAACCCUAAACAGUCGAUGUUCUGCUUGUGAAAUGGAGUAAAUAAGCUAAAUUAUGGGGGUUUACGGGGGAGAAUUACAAGGAAAAAACCAGAGUUUGACAUUUGUAGC